rnacentral:rRNA from 1 species
GACGAACGCUGGCGGCGUGCUUAACACAUGCAAGUCGAACGGAAAGGCCCUGCUUUUGUGGGGUGCUCGAGUGGCGAACGGGUGAGUAACACGUGAGUAACCUGCCCUUGACUUUGGGAUAACUUCAGGAAACUGGGGCUAAUACCGGAUAGGAGCUCCUGCUGCAUGGUGGGGGUUGGAAAGUUUCGGCGGUUGGGGAUGGACUCGCGGCUUAUCAGCUUGUUGGUGGGGUAGUGGCUUACCAAGGCUUUGACGGGUAGCCGGCCUGAGAGGGUGACCGGCCACAUUGGGACUGGGAUACGGGCCGAAACCCCACGGGGGGGAGGAGGGGGGAAUAUUGCAAAAUGGGCGGAAGCCCUAAUGAGGCACGCCGCGGGGGGGAAGGCGGGCUUUGGGGUGGAAACCGCUUUCGCCUGUGACGAAGGGUGAGGGGCGGUAAUGGGUAAAGAAGGAACGGCUAACUACGGG